GUUAUACGUCAAACGGCAAACGCCAGGUAAAGAAAAAUUUUACGGUAUCAGGCAAUAAAGAGUAAAUGAACUUGCUGUUUUAAAACUGAAAUUCAUAAUUAUACUUUCGACGCAAGAAAGAAAAUAUGAAACGAAAACGUUCAACGAAAAUUUUGCCAAGAAAGUUCGAACCUGCCGUUUGCCGUUCCCUGACACGCGAAGCUUAAACUCGCUAAUAUCAUACACACGAAAACGAGGCUCUAUAGCCAAGAUGAAAUACUUUCCGGAAGG